rnacentral:lncRNA from 1 species
AAUUGCAGUAAAAGAAGUGAAAGAAGUAACUGGUAUGAGAAUGCUUUUCCUCUCAUGGUCUAAAAUCUCUGGCAUUCACCAGGCUUCUCUCAAGGGUUUGGUAAUCCUCCCUUCUAUGACUUGUUGUUGUUUAGUCGUGUCCGACUCUUUGUGAUCCCAUGGAGCAGAGCACGCCAGGCCCUCCUGUCUUCCACUGCCUCCCAGAGUUGGGUCAAAUUCAUGUUGGUCACUUUGAUGACACUGUCCAACUAUCUCAUCUAUGACUACUGUACUACUUUGCAAUCAUAGGUAGGUAGUGCAUGUUGGGAUAAUCACAUGGACAAAGUUCCAAAUUCAACAACUAUGGUUUCUAAUUAAAAAUUAAGACCAAAACAGGUUGCAAAGCAUAGCUGGGGGUGCUGCAGCCAGACUGAAAGGAGGCCAGGUCUCCUGCAUCAUUCAUAAUUGGUGGGGGAAAGGAAACAGAGAAUUUCGGUACCCGUAGCCUUUCUUAUUCUUGCCUAGGUAUUUUCUACACAACCACUGAGGGCACUUUUCCAAAUAUAUACUUUUAGGGUUUGUUUUUGGACUAAUGGAGAAUCAUUAGCCAGAGGGAGUGGUGGUAGUAAUGCAAGUAACACGUGGAGCAAGCUGUUCCUUCUUUCUUUCUCUGAGAUUAGCCUUUCCACUGGGAGGAUUAUUGUCUUAGCAGUUUCUAUCUUAUUAGUGACAGGCUGGCCUUUCUGUUUCCAAGGAGCUUUGCUGCUCUAAUCUGAUUGGCAAAUGAAUCAAGCAUGCUGUUAGUUGAAUUUAAACUAGUUACUGCUCUUCAGUUUUUACUUACAUUAAUUCUUUUGUUUAAGGUGAUGAACAAAUCCCAUCUGAUGCUGUUCUCUAGGUGUUGGGGUGGUAAUCUACUAGUUGAUAUAAUAGGCAGGGAUUGCUCAAGCCCUUUGCUGCUUGAGGCAAAGAACAAGGAUUGGACUCCCCGGAUUCCGUGUACAGAACAGAAAAGGACAGGCCUUCAGAACAGCUUCCUCCACCACUCUUGGUGGCAACAGGCGAAAUGAUGGGGAACAUCAUUGCUGCUCUACCUCUGGCAUUCUUCACUUGAGGUAGCUGCCUCAUCUUAAGGCUACAUAAGCGGUGGCUCGGAGGCCCAUUCCUUUUCCCUGGAUUUCCUGGAUAUUCUCUCAGCAUAACUCAUGAUAUCUUCCUUACUUUCAGAUACAACAUAUUUAUAACUUGAUACGAUGUAUGCAUUGUGUAAGGCCCAAAUGCCUGGCACAGAUGAUCUCCCAGGAUGUCCUUCCCAUAAUAACUCCGGCUGAGGCCUUCUGAGGGGGAGGCAGUUGGGUCCUGGCCAACUCCAGAGACUUGCAUGUUGGCUGUUCUGAACUUCAUGAUUCACUGAAGCAAUGGGAGAGACCCUUCUGGUGUGUUUUGUGUGCCUAGCUUGAUUCCCCUCACAUUCUGCUGUUUGAAAUAGGUACUUAACUCUGCCUAAAGAGAGGACAUGCCCUGUAGGACAGAAUUAUUCAGAAUAUACAGCUGCAUCUCUUUUUAGACAAGAGAAUGACUUACGGAAGGCCCAUUCUUUAAGUGUCAGAUACCAAUGCAGAAAAUAGCUGUUUAUGGAUUGGUAGGAAAGGGCAUUGUUCUAUUAUUCUGACAUGACAUGGCCUCUGCAGCUUUGAUAGAUGAUUGUACUCUCCAAUCAUCUAUUCUAAAU